AAAUAAACGAUUUCUCUGUCAGUCACAAUAGAUGUACAGGCAAGGUUUAGUUGGAGGCCUGCCAAAGAGAACGUAAGAGUAAGGUACAUAAUCUCCAUCACCGUUCAGUUCACACAUCCACCCCACCCCCCUGCUACACUCCUUUGUGUAGUCUCAGCAGGUUGAGUUAUGGCCAUGCCCACCCGAGGGCCAUCAGACGUGUAAACGGUGCUCAGAGACAUGGAAUUCCUGCCCAUAAUCCUUUGUCAUGCUAUUUUGCAUUUCAAAAGCUCCUACAGCUGAUUGGCUAGGUUUGAAUCCAGGAAGCUAAUAGGUCAGACAGAAGAAGCAUUAUAUUAACACCACAGAGUCAGAUUAAUGAACACACAUUUUUAAGGCUGGCACAUGGAUGCUCUGGAAGUAUACUGUAUGUAUAAUUCACCAGCAGUACAACUAUACUCUUGUUCUUCCUUUGCAGAUUUUCACUAUAUCGUUGCAAUGAAGGAUAGUUUGACCGGGUUUCUUUUUCCAAAACAGAACUAAGGUCAGAAAUGUCUGGAUUUACUGAACCAUCACAACCGCUCAUGUCAGUGAAGAAGGAGAUAAAAGAAGAAGAAUUUGAUGAUUUCCUACAAGAGUAUUUGUCUGCAAAUCAGACAGUGGAAGAAAACCCUGGAAUGGAAUGUGAAAUCAAGGCUGAAAUGUACACGUCACCCACCAUGACCUUGAAAGAAGAAAAGUAUUCACCAAUGGAAAUUACAGAUGAAGAAGAAUUUGAUUUAAGUGAAUAUUGUCACUAUGUCUCUUCUCCUACAAGAGACAUUCAAAGGAUCCAGUCUAACAAGAGAAGGAAAACUGAG